GGUGUUGUGGCUCAGUGGGAGAGCACUUGCUUAGCAAGAGCAAGGCCCUGGUUCAAUCCCAAGCAACACAC
rnacentral:tRNA from 1 species